GUCUAUGGCCAUGCCACUCUGAACGUGCCCAAUCUCAUUUUAUCUUGGAAGCUAAGCAGGGUCGGGCCUGGUUAGCACUUGGAUGGGAGACCACCUAGGUAGACCAGGUGCUGUAAGCA
rnacentral:rRNA from 1 species